rnacentral:rRNA from 1 species
UACAGAGGUCCCAAGCGUUGUUCGGAUUCACUGGGCGUAAAGGGUGCGUAGGUGGUCAGGUAAGUCUGAUGUGAAAGCUCUGGGCUCAACCCAGAAAUGGCAUUGGAUACUAUCUGGCUAGAGGAAUGGAGGGGGGACUGGAAUACUUGGUGUAGCAGUGAAAUGCGUAGAUAUCAAGUGGAACACCAGUGGCGAAGCGAGUCCCUGGACAUUUCCUGACACUGAGGCACGAAAGCUAGGGGAGCAAACAGG